GCAAGUAGUUCCACACCAGCUUCAAUGCUUUGGUGUGAAAAUUUAGAGAAAUAGUUCCUCAAAAAAACACUAAGAGUAGAUCCAGCAGAAAGGUAGCACAAGUUUCUAGAAAGAGCUAGACAGUAAGGGAAUGCUUAAUUCCUAAGGCUUCUAUACUGAACUGCUUAAACUAAGGAAAAUAAUUGGAACAAGUUCUCUCAAUGGUUUGUAUUUUCCUUAAUUCUCCUCUGUGAGUUUAACAGCUCCUUUCCCUCCCAGCAGCAGAGAUGUUUUCCCAUGUAAGCACACUCUGCAAAGAUGGGAGAAACCUGUGAUCCUGAAGUGCAUUAAUAGCUUUAAUGGCUCUAACACACUUCAUAUGGUCACCAUCCACACCCUCUGCCCAUAGGCCCAGGAUCUCUAUUUAAGCCAGGUUUGGGCUUUGUAUCCAGUUUAAACUAUCUGGUAAGACUCUUAGUCUUCAGUGCCACUGUAGUGAUGGAUGGAUUUGGAUUAUUGUCUCUGGAUAAUCUCUGUUUUUUCAGCUAGACCUUCCAUCUCCCUCAAUGUUGUGAAUCUACCUAGUAAUUGGAAAAUUGUGUCUAGUACUGGUAAUUUUAUUCUACAUAAUUCUCAUUCUUAGCUGUGGUGUGUUUCCCUAGUUUGACUCUAGACCUGCUUCUUCAUUAUCAUAAAUGUGUUUGAUGAACAUGAUUUCUGGUUGAACCUGGCCACUUCUAAAUCUUGCCUCCUUACUUCAUUCAAGUACUAUGGGGACUAUGGCCUGCCCUGCUGUGUUCUCCCUCUCUUUCCCUUAGGGAGAAAAGGGGGUUUGCUGGUCAUUCUAUUCCAGAGCUGGGCUCUAAGGGUCCCGUUUAGCAGGCUUCUCAGAGCGACUAAGGAAACUGCUGGGCUGUAGGCAAUAGGGCUUUUAUGACUGAUCUGAGUCAAGAGGGGCAUCCCUGAUGGUUUGGGAUACCUAAGUGACAACGUGUACCAGUUGUUGCAAACCACUGUUCCCAUAGUUAUAUACCUCUGCUUGGUCAAAUCCAGAAUGGAAGUCUAUUGUAGAGCACUAAACAUCCAGUAGGCUAGAAAAUAGGAAUCAGUUGACUAACCAUGUACUGGAGAAGUGCUACUAUGUGACUCUUCUGUGAAUCUAAAAUGUUUUGAGAUCUGGGAUUGGCAAAUGCAAUCUAACUGCAGAGGAUGAUAAUAAGUUACCGCAGUGGGGACACUCACAGAAGAUAUGAUUCAUGUGUUGGCGCCAAGGCUGAUGACUGGAGGCUAUGAAACACGGCGGGUUCUUGAGACGGAAGAGUGCGUGGGCCAGUGAAGUUGCUGAAGCUGUUGUGAGGCGGAUUGAAUGGAUCUCUGUUUCCCCAGGCUGCACACACAGCAUGUUGUCACCUACCAAUUAUCACACGAAUGAUGCACCUGGAUCAAGGCCCAAGAUCAAAUCACGCUGGACUUUGGCCCCACUGAAUUUCAGAUCCAGUUUAUUUAGACUGUAACCAAAAUUGCAAUCUAUUCUAAUAUGUUGUAAAAUAGAGUUGAUGGAAAAGGGUCCAGAGAAACAAGGAAAGACCAUCGUGAGCAUUUUGAGAUCAAUAACUGCAGCAAAAUUUCUUCUGCAAGGCAAGUUUGAAUGGUUAUAUAUUCAGGAACUGUGGAAUUCUGAUCAAGAAAUGUGUGCAUAAAUGAACUACUUUUCAAGUAUCUAAUGACCAGAAGCAACGUCAGUUUGAUACAGCGCUUGCUUACAGGCUAAGUGAUCACCACUUGAAACCUCAUGAUGCUGAUGAUGCCAGCUGGUUUUCCAGGUGGAAAAGGCCUCUCAGCUGCCAGUAACCAGUGAUUUUACUGGCAGUCUUAGGGUUUAUACCGAGAAACACUCAAACCAUGAAGUGAGAAUUUUCCUGUUCUUCUUUGGAGAUGGCCUCUCUGGUACCAUGUAAACUGAUGAUGCAGAAUGGAGAAAGCUGUGUAGAUGUUCUAGAACAGUUCUGGAAACAACUGGAAGUUCAAAGUUAUCUUUGAGUGGAAAAAGGGUAAUUCAGGAAAAACUUUAGUUUGGGGAUUAUCUAAUGCCAAGGGAAAAAGAAUGGACCAAUUUCUUUAGAUUUGGCUGAAAAGUGAGAAAAUGCAUAAGCCUAAUGACAUCUUGGAUUUCCCAGGGGUAGUGCUUACUGCAGGAGGCAGUGAAUGUGCCAAACACAUCAUGACUGCUAGGAAAGGACAGACCUAUGAUCUUACAGAAUUAUAUUCAGGAAUGAGGGAUAAGAGGGAGACUAAACAACAAUAAUUUUUAAUGCUUUUCAGAGGGAAACUAGGGAAUUUCUGAGUGUCUUUAUUCUUUCACAGUCAAUGUUCCUUCCCAUCUAGUCAUGUUCCACAAAUAGGUCAGGAGUAAUUAAUCUUUGAUUUCAGGAUGUAAGAGUGACUCUCUAGAGAGCAGCUGUAGCUUGAGAGAAGCCUAUAACACAGCUGCCUGGCACUUCAGUGGGACAAGAAACUACCCUGCAGAGAUAUUCCUGGCACACUUUAAUAUUUUUUCUCCUCCAGUGAUGACUGCAAGAGCUCACCUACUACUAUUGGAAAUACCUUAAUGUAAUCCAAAUUUAUUUGAAAGAGUGUCC